rnacentral:rRNA from 1 species
GAAUUUAAACCUCUUCCAGAGUAUCAAUUGGAGGGCAAGUCUGGUGCCAGCAGCCGCGGUAAUUCCAGCUCCAAUAGCGUAUAUUAAAAUUGUUGCAGUUAAAAAGCUCGUAGUUGAAUUUCUGCUGCAUUGCAUCUUCUUUUUGAUGAGUUGGUGUAUUGUGGCUUAUUUCGGAUGAUACUUGUAUUAUCCGGAUGAUUACUUUGAGAAAAUUAGAGUGCUCAAAGCAGGCUUUUGCCUUGAAUAGUUUAGCAUGGAAUAAUAAAGUAGGACUUUGGUUCUAUUUUGUUGGUUUUAGGUACCAAAGUAAUGGUUAAUAGGAACAGUUGGGGGCAUUCGUAUUUAACUGUCAGAGGUGAAAUUCUUAGAUUUGUUAAAGACGAACUACUGCGAAAGCAUUUGCCAAGGAUGUUUUCAUUAAUCAAGAACGAAAGUUAGGGGAUCGAAGACGAUCAGAUACCGU